GAAGAUGUUGAUGUUGGAGUCUCUGGGAACGUGUGUGUGUGUGUGUGUGUGUGUGUGCGUGUGUGUGUGUUUGUGUGUGUGUGUGUGUGUGUGUGAGGGGGGUAUACUGACAGACUGAUUGACGGGCGACCACAGUCAGCUGAAGGUCAUUCAGAAUUAUAACCCUGAGUUUAUCUGAACAUGGAGUCCAGAAACAAAGACCACAACAGGGAGAGUCCAGACGUGUGUGUGUGUGUGUGUGUGUGUGUGUGUGUGUGUGUUGUUGUCGUGUUGUUGUUGUUGUUAGGGAUGAAGGUGCUGGGAGGUCGUACUGAAGCUCAGGAUGGGGUUUUGGUUUAGGAGUUGUUGGUGUAGACUUUGCUGACACAGAGGUGAGGGGUGAUGUGGUCAGCUGGAUUCAGCAGAUCCUGACUGUGAUAUCAGCAUUAAUAUGAAUAUAAACAUCAGCACAAAUAUCAGCCUUCAUGUUAGCUCUAAUGAUGCUGUCUAAAAGGGUCUGAGUCCCUCAUGCUGGUCGAUCAGUCCUGCAGAAAAAUGAGGAUCGAUUUUCAUCGUUUACUGAGUCGUUCUGAGCCGAACUCAAAGAAACAUCCAAUCAACAUUCAGGGAAUAACAUGAAGACAAAGUCACAACAGAAGUUACUGAACAGAAGUGACAGAAGUGACAGAAGUGACAGAAGUCGACACUUUUUUUUUUGCAUCAUGAACGUCCGUUGUGCCUUUUCUUUUUUUAUCUGCACCGUUCUCGGCCACCGUACAAACGGAUCAGGACUCACACGGUCCACGUGUUUAUUCUCUGAACUUCAUAACAGGGAAAAACAUUAAUAAGAAAAACAAGUUAUGCAACAGGAGAGAUGAUUACUGCAGGAAACAGAGUCCGACUCUCAUGGACCCGUCUGACCAUGUUUACAGUCCGAAAAUACACAGCAGGACCAACAGAACCAACAGAACCAACAGAACCACUUUAACUCUCAGUUCAGAGUUUCUUAUAAAAGGGAGACAGUUUGAGAGCAGACUCAGACUCAGACUCAGACUCAGACUCAGAGUCUGGACCCUGGAGUCAGACUCAAGUGUUUGUUUACUCUGAAGAGGAAAUCACAGAAACGUUUGUGAACAGAGAGGAGCGUGAGGAGGAGAAACGGAGGAGAAACGGACCAGGGCGAGGACCGGAACCAUGGAACCAGGAGGAGAACAUAGACUUGAACUAAAGUAACCUCAGACCAACGGACAGAGAGACACCGAGGGAACGAAGGACAGGAAAGAAGGAAAGGAAAGGAGGAGUCUUCCCAGGAUGAGAGCGGUGACGGCUGGAAUUCUUUCUCCAGGACAGGAAAUAG